ACUCAAAGGAAUUGACGGGGGCCCGCACAAGCGGAGGAGCAUGUGGUUUAAUUCGAUGAUACGCGAGGAACCUUACCUGGGCUUGAAAGUUAGUGACAUUCCGUGAAAACGGGAGUUCCGCAAGGACACGAAACUAGGUGCUGCAUGGCUGUCGUCAGCUCGUGCCGUGAGGUGUUGGGUUAAGUCCCGUAACGAGCGCAACCCCUAUCAUUAGUUGCCAUCAGGUUAAGCUGGGGACUCUAAUGAGACUGCCCGCGCAAGCGGUGAGGAAGGUGGGGAUGACGUCAAGUCAGCACGGCCCUUACGUCCAGGGCUACACACGUGCUACAAUGGCCGGUACAGAAGGUUGCUACCUGGUGACAGGAUGCUAAUCCCAAAAACCGGUCUCAGUUCGGAUUGAAGUCUGCAACUCGACUUCAUGAAGCUGGAUUCGCUAGUAAUCGCAUAUCAGCAAUGAUGCGGUGAAUACGUUCCCGGGCCUUGUACACACCGCCCGU
rnacentral:rRNA from 1 species